rnacentral:rRNA from 1 species
GCAGCCUGCAACUCGGCUGCAUGAAGCUGGAAUCGCUAGUAAUCGCGGAUCAGAAUGCCGCGGUGAAUACGUUCCCGGGUCUUGUACACACCGCCCGUCACACCAUGGGAGUCGGGAAUGCCCGAAGUCAGUGACCCAACCGAAAGGGGGAGCUGCCGAAGGCAGGCCUGGUAACUGGGGUGAAGUCGUAACAAGGUACC